rnacentral:rRNA from 1 species
UAUACCGGAAAGCUGCAGAGAUCGUGGCCCCCCUUGUGGUCGGGUAUACAGGUGGUGCAUGGCUGUCGUCAGCUCGUGUCGUGAGAUGUUCGGUUAAGUCCCGCAACGAGCGCAACCCCUAUCUUAUGUUGCCAGCACGUUAUGGUGGGGACUCGUAAGAGACUGCCGGGGUCAACUCGGAGGAAGGUGGGGACGACGUCAAGUCAUCAUGCCCCUUAUGUCCAGGGCUUCACACAUGCUACAAUGGCCAGUACAGAGGGCUGCGAGACCGUGAGGUGGAGCGAAUCCCUUAAAGCUGGUCUCAGUUCGGAUCGGGGUCUGCAACUCGACCCCGUGAAGUCGGAGUCGCUAGUAAUCGCAGAUCAGCAACGCUGCGGUGAAUACGUUCCCGGGCCUU